UGGAGAAUCUUCCCACUGAACCCAGGCAAACAUGGUGGUCUGCCCAACAGUCUCCAUAACACAGCAAUUGAUAUGAUCCGAAUUUCCAGAGAUAUUUCCAGAGAUAUAUCAGACAAAGAAAAAGUGGCACAAGAAAAAUCAAAGUGCACAAUUCUCUUCUGAAGCUUGGGGUCAACCUUGCUAUGUUAAAGGUCAUAGGCUGUUUAUGGAGAGAAAAUAAUCCACGCCUCCAAGCGGAGGUAAAAUAAAAGCGGAGACGAGAAUUACGAGGGGGCUCCGAAAUUGAACUCUGGUCUCACCGUGUCUCACUGUGUCGUGAUAUCUACAUCUGGUGACCUCGACGUGAUUCAGAACAAACACCCUCGUACCCACUGGCAGGAUCAGCCAACGGUGCACCUCAGCGUACAGCUCCCAUUCGUAGCUGCAGUACUGGCAGAAGUGACCAGGGAGAAACCGGUUCCGGCAUUUUCAGCAGUCGGAGUCUCUACCUGCCCCGCGGGUGCAGUUUCGGCAACUACCAAAUCCAGAGUGGAAAGGCCCAGUUCCGCUUAUAACGUGGGGUCGAGGUUACGCGGCUGUGUCUACGCCUGACGGUCCUGUGUGGGUACCUGCUAGGUGUAUCCGGCCCUGGAAAGACGAUGUCCUGGCACGAUAAUCUUAAGAAUCCCAUCCCUAAUUUUUCUCUGCAACUUCAGGAUACUGGGAUGUCUUCCAGGAAGCGUGGUCGGAAUGUUCCGCAACCUCCCGUGACUUGGGGCCAAAUAAAGAACUUAGCAACACAAGCAGAAAAAGCAAUGGAACAAGCCGGGGUGGACAAGACAACUGAGAAUACCAUUCUUGCUUUAAUUGCGUCUUUAAAUACAAAUUCUAUUUUUGUACUUUGCAUUUGUUGGAUUUUAGGAAGCGCCGGGGCUGACAGGUUGGGGCAGGAGUUGGGGAUGCGGUUUCAACACAAUAUCUGGGUUCAGUUAGCAAGAAUGACAAAUGUGAGUGACUUUUGCAUGACUGAACAUGUACAGGAAAUGGGUAUGUUGGGAACAUGUUUAAUACCCGUAUGCAAAGCACCUGGGGAUAUUGGGAACAUUACAGGACUUGGGCGGUUCAUGAAUACUUCAGAGAUUAAAUAUCAUACUGUUUCGAAUUGGGGAACUCCAACCUUCCAGCUGCCUGUUAAUGCUUUUCAAUUAUUUACAUCACAUGUUGCAAAUUCCAUUAAUAAUA